AUUGAACGCUGGCGGCAGGCCUAACACAUGCAAGUCUAACGAGUGGCGGACGUGUGAGUUAUGUCUGGGAAACUGCCUGAUGGAGGGUGUUAACUACUGGACCCGGUAGCUAAUACCGCAUACCAUCAUUUGUGCCCAGAUGGGAUUAGCUUGGUGGUGGGGUAACGGCUCACCAAGGCGACGAUCCCUAGCUGGUCUGCGAGGAUGACCAGCAACACUGGAACUGAUACACGGUCCAGACUCCUACGGGAGGCAGCAGUGGGGAAUAUUGCACAAUGGGCGCAAGCCUGAUCCAGCCAUGCCGCGUGUAGGAAGAAGGCCUUCGGAUUGUAAAGUACUGUCAGCGGGGAGGCGUUACCAACAGAAGAAGCACCGGCUAACGCCGUGCCAGCAGCCGCGGUAAUAC
rnacentral:rRNA from 1 species